GAUUUACAUUUGAGUGAGUGGCGAACUGGUGAGUAACACGUGGGAAACCUGCCCAGAAGCGGGGGAUAACACCUGGAAACAGAUGCUAAUACCGCAUAACAACUUGGACCGCAUGGUCCGAGUUUGAAAGAUGGCUUCGGCUAUCACUUUUGGAUGGUCCCGCGGCGUAUUAGCUAGAUGGUGGGGUAACGGCUCACCAUGGCAAUGAUACGUAGCCGACCUGAGAGGGUAAUCGGCCACAUUGGGACUGAGACACGGCCCAAACUCCUACGGGAGGCAGCAGUAGGGAAUCUUCCACAAUGGACGAAAGUCUGAUGGAGCAACGCCGCGUGAGUGAAGAAGGGUUUCGGCUCGUAAAACUCUGUUGUUAAAGAAGAACAUAUCUGAGAGUAACUGUUCAGGUAUUGACGGUAUUUAACCAGAAAGCCACGGCUAACUACGUGCCAGCAGCCGCGGUAAUACGUAGGUGGCAAGCGUUGUCCGGAUUUAUUGGGCGUAAAGCGAGCGCAGGCGGUUUUUUAAGUCUGAUGUGAAAGCCUUCGGCUCAACCGAAGAAGUGCAUCGGAAACUGGGAAACUUGAGUGCAGAAGAGGACAGUGGAACUCCAUGUGUAGCGGUGAAAUGCGUAGAUAUAUGGAAGAACACCAGUGGCGAAGGCGGCUGUCUGGUCUGUAACUGACGCUGAGGCUCGAAAGUAUGGGUAGCAAACAGGAUUAGAUACCCUGGUAGUCCAUACCGUAAACGAUGAAUGCUAAGUGUUGGAGGGUUUCCGCCCUUCAGUGCUGCAGCUAACGCAUUAAGCAUUCCGCCUGGGGAGUACGGCCGCAAGGCUGAAACUCAAAGGAAUUGACGGGGGCCCGCACAAGCGGUGGAGCAUGUGGUUUAAUUCGAAGCUACGCGAAGAACCUUACCAGGUCUUGACAUACUAUGCAAAUCUAAGAGAUUAGACGUUCCCUUCGGGGACAUGGAUACAGGUGGUGCAUGGUUGUCGUCAGCUCGUGUCGUGAGAUGUUGGGUUAAGUCCCGCAACGAGCGCAACCCUUAUUAUCAGUUGCCAGCAUUAAGUUGGGCACUCUGGUGAGACUGCCGGUGACAAACCGGAGGAAGGUGGGGAUGACGUCAAAUCAUCAUGCCCCUUAUGACCUGGGCUACACACGUGCUACAAUGGAUGGUACAACGAGUUGCGAACUCGCGAGAGUAAGCUAAUCUCUUAAAGCCAUUCUCAGUUCGGAUUGUAGGCUGCAACUCGCCUACAUGAAGUCGGAAUCGCUAGUAAUCGCGGAUCAGCAUGCCGCGGUGAAUACGUUCCCGGGCCUUGUACACACCGCCCGUCACACCAUGAGAGUUUGUAAC
rnacentral:rRNA from 2 species